UAAGGAAUAUUGGUCAAUGGGCGGAAGCCUGAACCAGCCAUGCCGCGUGCAGGAAGACGGCCCUACGGGUUGUAAACUGCUUUUAUACGGGAAUAAACCUCGAUUCGUGAAUCGAGCUGAAUGUACUGUAAGAAUAAGGAUCGGCUAACUCCGUGCCAGCAGCCGCGGUAAUACGGAGGAUCCAAGCGUUAUCCGGAUUUAUUGGGUUUAAAGGGUGCGUAGGCGGCCUGUUAAGUCAGGGGUGAAAGACGGUAGCUUAACUAUCGCAGUGCCCUUGAUACUGAUGGGCUUGAAUGUACUAGAGGUAGGCGGAAUGUGACAAGUAGCGGUGAAAUGCAUAGAUAUGUCACAGAACACCAAUUGCGAAGGCAGCUUACUAUGGUAUGAUUGACGCUGAGGCACGAAAGCGUGGGGAUCAAACA
rnacentral:rRNA from 1 species